AGAAUCAACGCUGGCGGCGUGCCUAACACAUGCAAGUCGAACGAGAAAGUGGAGCAAUCCAUGAGUAAAGUGGCGACCGGGUGAGUAACACGUGACUAACCUACCUUCGAGUGGGGGAUAACCUCGGGAAACCGAGGCUAAUACCGCAUAACAUCGCAAGAUCAAAGCAGCAAUGCGCUGGAAGAGGGGGUCGCGGCUGAUUAGCUAGUUGGCGGGGUAAUGGCCCACCAAGGCGAAGAUCGGUAGCCGG
rnacentral:rRNA from 1 species